AGGUGGGGUGUGACGAUCAACGUCGGACUCACUCUGUCGAUAGAUGGUUGGCUCAACCGAUCGAUCGAUUUUAUCAUAGAAAUGGGAGGGUGGGUGAGGAUGCUUAGCUGCGAAUUCCUCAUGAGUUAGAAUUCGAACUGCAUUGCAUUCAGUCGAUUUAGCGGACGACGUCGAUCGAUAACUGGAGUAAUCCAUCCAUCGAUUUUCGUCAUGGUCUGUCGAUU
rnacentral:lncRNA from 1 species